ACUGUGUCUAUCUGAGCAAAAAUCAAGUCAUGAGGUGGAAGGAACUGCUUGCAGAGCUCAUAGACAGAAUUGUAUUGAGGCACUGAUCUGGGGAAGGCUACAAAAUAAAGUCUGCUGCAUUGAAGGUUUCCAAGAGCACAAUGACCUCUUAAAUGGGAGAAGUUUGGAACAACUAGAGCUCUCCUAAAGAUGGCCACCCUGCCAAACUGAGGGAGAAUGCCCUGGGUAAGAAAGUUGACUCUACCUGAGCUCCAGAGAUCUUAUAUGGAGAAGGGAGAAACUUCCAUGAGGACCAACCUUGCUGCAACACUGCACCAAUCUGGGCUUUAAAUCCCCAAAUCCAGCCAGGCCCCGUGAGUCCAGCUGGGCAGCCACAACUCCCCGUCUCAUGGUGACAGGACACUCCAGCAUGGCACCGACACCGUUGGACACAGGAAGCACCGUAGGACCCCGGAAGGCAGGCUGGGAGUACACAUACGCAUGCAGACACACAUCAGUCAGUUUACUCAUGUUCAAAGCUCGCCUCAUUGCCACUUUCAUUCUGUUGCAAUUUCCUCAGUCCUAUACACACUCACGUUUGUCACACCUGGCUCCCCUCCAGCCUGGCUCGCACUCACAGAGGCCUGUCACAUGGUUGCAACUGGAACUAUAGACACAGUCGCAGCUCUGCUCACAGCCAUCUCCAAAGAAUCCCUUAGAACAGGCUUCAGACAAAACACACAAACUUCCGUGUUCAGUAUACAACAAUCGAGUCUGAGAAAAACACUUUUUGAAAAGUCCACUUUUUAUCCUUAUUAGGCUAAUUGCACAACUUGUUUUGACACAGCAAGUUUUUAUGAUCGCAGGAGUAAGUAGAGCUUCACUUUUGUUUUGCUGCUGCUGCUUGACAGAAGUGUUAUCAAAUGUAGCACCGAAACUGCUGGCAAGCUAUGUAUCUGUACAUCUCAGUGGGACAGGUGACGGGGGAGGGGAAAAAAGGCAAAAUAUGAACUGAUAUGCUGUGAUGCAACAGUGCUGAUGUAAAGUCACCUGACUGACAGAGCUUUCCUAUCCAACCAGGCAGACACACACAUCUUCCUAUCACUCUGUCACAUUUCCCUCCAUUCGUACAGCUGCAGGCCUGGGUACAGUUCUCUCCAAAACGUCCUUCCUCACACUCUAGGAGAGAGGGAAAGGAAACCUCAGAUGGUAGUUGCAUUCAAGAAGUUAUUUAUUUCAGAAAUACAAAAGGGUUUUAAGGGUCAUUUGUUUCUAGGACUCACCUAACUCACAGGUGGCUCCAGUCCAGCCAGGCGGGCAGGAGCACUGGCCGGUCAUGCUAUCACAAGAGCCUUGGUUUUGACACAGACAUUGACCCGAACAGUGUUCCCCAUAUUGUCCUGCAGGACAGGCUGAACUCACACACACAAACACAGUACGUUAUAGAGAGUUAAUGACAUAAAGAUUAAGAAAAUAAUGUAGACAAUUGUAUAAAAGUUUAGUAAUGAAAAUAUAUGUAUCAAUGUGACAUUGAUUAUGAAAUAGAAUUUAUAUAAUAAGACCCUAUCCAACAGUAUGUCCAUCAGUCUAUCUCCGUACCCAGUGGUCAUGUCUAUUAAUCACCUAUCAUCAUAAGGUGUUAGUGUACGGGUUUGCACACAAGACGGCAGAAAGUCGACAAUUAGGAGACCUACUGUCCACAUACAUUUGAUAAGUAAACCUGCAACUAUCACAAUAUUUUGACUCCUGAGGUGGGUUUUUUCAUUUUUGUGUACACUGUUUUUAUACCAAUGCAAGAAACUAAGGGUUUUAUCUACUGAUCUCAAACUUCUGAUAUUAUGAUUUGAAUAGUGCCUUUAAAGGACCAUACAGCGUGUUUCCAAUUUGUGUCUCCUAGACUGCAACAUUUCUACCUUACAGUUUUUGCUUGACCAUUUUAUUUUAAUAAAGAAUAUACAGUUGUA